CAGUAGCCACGGGAAUACGAAGGGGGCUAGCGUUGUUCGGAUUUACUGGGCGUAAAGCGCACGUAGGCGGACUUUUAAGUCAGGGGUGAGAUCCCGGGGCUCAACCCCGGAACUGCCUUUGAUACUGGAAGUCUUGAGUAUGGUAGAGGUGAGUGGAAUUCCGAGUGUAGAGGUGAAAUUCGUAGAUAUUCGGAGGAACACCAGUGGCGAAGGCGGCUCACUGGACCAUUACUGACGCUGAGGUGCGAAAGCGUGGGGAGCAAACAGGAUUAGAUACCCGCGUAGUCCCUGUCUCUUAUAC
rnacentral:rRNA from 1 species